GACGAACGCUGGCGGCGUGCUUAACACAUGCAAGUCGAACGGAAAGGCCCUGCUUUUGUGGGGUGCUCGAGUGGCGAACGGGUGAGUAACACGUGAGUAACCUGCCCUUGACUUUGGGAUAACUUCAGGAAACUGGGGCUAAUGCCGGAUAGGAGCUCCUGCUGCAUGGUGGGGGUUGGAAAGUUUCGGCGGUUGGGGAUGGACUCGCGGCUUAUCAGCUUGUUGGUGGGGUAGUGGCUUACCAAGGCUUUGACGGGUAGCCGGCCUGAGAGGGUGACCGGCCACAUUGGGACUGAGAUACGGCCCAGACUCCUACGGGAGGCAGCAGUGGGGAAUAUUGCACAAUGGGCGGAAGCCUGAUGCAGCAACGCCGCGUGCGGGAUGACGGCCUUUGGGUUGUAAACCGCUUUCGCCUGUGACGAAGCGUGAGUGACGGUAAUGGGUAAAGAAGCACCGGCUAACUACGUG
rnacentral:rRNA from 1 species